GCGGGAUUAGUUGAUCGGUGCAACGUCAGCUUUCCAAGCUGAAUAGAGGGGUUCGACUCCCCUAUCCCGCU
rnacentral:tRNA from 1 species